AGAGUGGUGUGCUAGUGCUGUAUGAAAAUGGCCACUCAAGGCAAAGAAAUAAAGAACUUCAGCUCAGUCCUGGGCACGCAGUUAGACUGCAAGCAAAAGAAGAGGUUCCAUACAUGCAUGGAUUUUCAAGCAAUUUUAUGUUGGAGCAGAAGAAGCUUGAACCAGAGGUCCAAUGGAAGAAUGAUGGGGUCAGAGAAGAGGCAGAGGAGGAACAGCUGAAUAAUAAAUGAAGUCCAUCUUU